rnacentral:ncRNA from 2 species
AGCACAUCCCCGGGGGGCUCUAUAUAAUAGGGCUGAGAAUUGGCUGAGUUGCCAUAACCCGUCGAACCUGAUCCGGCUCUGAAACCGGCGUAGGGAGGGAAGGUAUCAGACCU